UACGUAGGGUGCGAGCGUUAAUCGGAAUUACUGGGCGUAAAGCGUGCGCAGGCGGUUUUGUAAGUCUGUCGUGAAAUCCCCGGGCUCAACCUGAGAAUUGCGAUGGAGACUGCAAGGCUAGAAUCUGGCAGAGGGGGGUAGAAUUCCACGUGUAGCAGUGAAAUGCGUAGAGAUGUGGAGGAACACCGAUGGCGAAGGCAGCCCCCCUGGGUCAAGAU
rnacentral:rRNA from 1 species